GGCUAGGGGUCCAAUCGGAGCUGUGUCUGCGACCUACCUCCCAGCUCAUGGCAACACCAGAUCCUUAACCCACUGAGGGAGGCCAGGGAUCCAACCCGAACUCUCAUGGAUACUAGUUGAGUUCAUUACCACUGAUCAAUGACGGGGACUCCUGAAGGUGUUUUUAUCCGGAGUGAAUUCGCUUUUGUGUGUGUGUGUGUGUGUGUGUGUGUGUGGCAUUAACAGCCCUGGAUCCCUCCCUCUAAGUUUAAUUUCUGUGUUUGAGGCUUCUUGUGUCAGAAAGAUAAUAUAGGCUUCAUGCUUGGCCAGUGAUGAAGUUAUGAGUUCUCUGGAAAAUAUCAUCCCACUCUCUCCAGUGCUGAAGUCUAGUGGCAACUUCCUUGCUGUCCCUUCCAUGGAGUGGGUUUAUUCUAAUUCAGACUAAGGUUAUAUGCUCCUUUGGCAUCUAGGUCUGUUCAGGAGUUCGGCGCUGGCACAGUCUCCUGUGUCUUGUACCCUGGCUUCAGUCAGAACGGAAGUCAGCAUUCCCCUGGUAGCCACAUGGCCUCAGUGAGAGAACUAGCUUCAGACUUGACUCAUCUCUCUGGUUCGCUGCUUUUGCUUUAGUAGAAUCAGUGGUGUUAUUUAAUCCAAUGCUAUUUUCCUUUCUUGUCAUCUGGAUGACAGAAUAUUAUUUUCCAUUUUUCUCUUUUUAAAUAGAACUUCUUCUAUGCCUUGAUUUUUUUUUUUUUUAUGAUAAAACCUUUCAGUUUGUUUUUUUUGGUUUUUUUGUUUUUGUUUUGUUUUUUCUUUUUCUUGUUUUGUCUUUUUAGGGCCGUACCCACGGCAUGUGGAAGUUUCCAGGGAUCAAACCCAAGUCCUCCUAGACACUAGUCAGGUUCAUUACCACUGAGCCACCAUGGGAAAUUCCAUUGUAGUAUUUUGUCAUAUUUGCCAUGUGUGUAUGCGUGCGUAUGUAUAAUUUUAUGAACCAUUUGGAAGUCUGUGACAUAUAUCACGUCACUUAACCCUGCAUGUUUUGCUGUACAUCUUCUGAAAAUAAGGAUAUUCUCCUUUAUAAUCACUAUACCAUAUCAUACCUUAGAAAAUGAAUAAGAAGUCUCUAAUAUUUUGUCUGACACCUCGUCCAUAUUUAAAUUCCCCAGUUGUCCCUAAAUAUAUGUUAUAUAUAUUUUUCCCCUAAAAUGGGAGUAAUGUAGUGAUGCAUUUUUAAAGAUAUUUAUUUGUCAGUAGGGCUAUUUGGUUCACCAUACUUUCAGAUGUGGAAACAAACUUUAUUGUUUGGCCUUUUCUGAACUUUGCUUCUUGACUACUACAUUUUUCUAGUAGCCAAAUUACUGGUUUUUUUGUUCUUUUUUUUUUUUGCUUUUUAGGGCCGCACUGGCGCCAUAUGUCCCCAGGCUAGGGGUCCAAUCAGAGCUGCAGCUGCUGGCCUACACCACACCACCAGCAAUGUGGGAUCCGAGCCAUGUCUUCCACCUACACCAUAGCUCACGGCAACGCCGGGUUCCUAACCCACUGAGCAGGGCCAGGGAUCAAACCCACAUCCUCAUACAUACUAGUUAGGUUCGUUACUGCUGAGCCAUGAUGGGAACGUCUAGAAUUACUGUAUCUUUUGCUCUCUAUUCACUUUCCUUGUGAAUUGCUUAUUAUUUGGUAUGCAGUUAAAGAACUAUAAUUUAGUUGAAAAACUGUUUUACUUCCUUUUAAAAGAGUUGUCUCUCUCAAGUGGAGGAUCCGGAAGAGGUUAGCUCAUUGUCUUUCUUCCAAAUAGCUACAUAUUCUAAGUUUUGUUCCGUCAAGGGAUUGACCUCACCUAAGGUGCCACCUCUGGGUAUCC
ensembl:lncRNA